AGUGAACGCUGGCGGUAGGCCUAACACAUGCAAGUCGAACGGCAGCACAGUAAGAGCUUGCUCUUACGGGUGGCGAGUGGCGGACGGGUGAGGAAUACAUCGGAAUCUACUUUUUCGUGGGGGAUAACGUAGGGAAACUUACGCUAAUACCGCAUACGACCUACGGGUGAAAGCAGGGGAUCUUCGGACCUUGCGCGAUUGAAUGAGCCGAUGUCGGAUUAGCUAGUUGGCGGGGUAAAGGCCCACCAAGGCGACGAUCCGUAGCUGGUCUGAGAGGAUGAUCAGCCACACUGGAACUGAGCCGCGGUCCAGACUCCUACGGGAGGCAGCGGUGGGGAAUAUUGUACAAUGGGCGCAAGCCUGGUCCAGCCAUGCCGCGUGGGUGAAGAAGGCCUUCGGGUUGUAAAGCCCUUUUGUUGGGAAAGAAAAGCAGCAGGUUAAUACCCCGCUGUUCUGACGGUACCCAAAGAAUAAGCACCGGCUAACUUCGUG
rnacentral:rRNA from 1 species